GCUCACAAUCCAUUUUAGCGGCAAUGCUCCCUCCAAGAUGAAAUCUGCACACAGCUCUCACACCACAACUCACCACACCGUCGCCGGAAAACCUUGAGUCUGCCGGAGCAUCGCCGCACCAUCUUGAUUCUGCUGGAGCACCGCCGCACCACCUUCACUCUGCCGGAGCACUGUUAUCUCUUUUCGCCUUAAUCUCCGACGCCACUCGACGGAAUAUUUUGACGAAUUGUUUGAAGACCCGAGAUUUAUGGAACGACUGUACCAAGCUAUGGAUAAGAAGAGAUCACGAAAAGACAACGAAAAUGACACGGAUGAGGAGGGAGAAUGAUGUAUUUUGUAUUGAACUUAGGGGUUUCAAAACUUUAACUUAAUCAAACAAAAUACUUUUGUUGUAGUUUUAUGUUUAAAACUUGGUUUGUUUGAAGAAUUGUUUGAAUUAUUGUUUGCA